rnacentral:rRNA from 1 species
GACGAACGCUGGCGGCAUGCCUAACACAUGCAAGUCGAGCGAUGCCUUCGGGUAUAUGUACGCACUGGUUCGUAAGCCAUGGGAAGCUUCCCGUGGGGUGGAUAUAACAUUUAGAAAUGGCUGCUAAUACCGAAUGAUUGCUCCCUGAGCAUAAUUACGUACCACAGAUUUAUCGGCCAUGGAUGAGCCAGCUGAGGAUUUGAAAGAUGGUGGGGUAAUGUCCUAGCUAGCUGACGAGGGUUAGAUGGUCUGAGAGGAUGAUCAGUCACACCGGGACUGAGAAACGGCCCAGAAUCCUACGGGAGGCAGCAGUGGCGAAUAUUGGAACAUGGGGGGAAUCAUGAUCCAGCAAUGUCGUGUGACUGAGGAAGUACUUAGGAUUGUAAAGCUGUGUUACAAGCGAAGAUAAUGACAGUAACUGGAGAAUAAGCUACGGCUAACUACGUG